rnacentral:tRNA from 1 species
GCCCCCAUGGCUCAACGGACAGAGUACAAGUUUGCGGAACUUGAGAUGUAGGUUCGAUUCCUACUGGGGGCA